GGGGGUCGUACUGACCCGACCCAGAACGCAAGUCGUUCGAGGACUCGAACGGACUUGCGAACCUCCCCAACUUGUGGGACCCCCGUCCGUGACGGGAACCCCACGACUUCAGUCGUGGGAGGAGGUCAGUACCAGCUAUAGC
rnacentral:misc_RNA from 1 species